CUGGAUUGUGGUCUAGUCGUUAAACUA
rnacentral:sRNA from 1 species